rnacentral:rRNA from 1 species
UACGGAGGGUGCGAGCGUUAAUCGGAAUCACUGGGCGUAAAGCGCGCGUAGGCGGCUUUUCAAGUCAGGGGUGAAAUCCCACGGCCCAACCGUGGAACUGCCUUUGAGACUGUAGAGCUUGAGUGUCGGAGGGGGUGGCGGAAUUCCAGGUGUAGGAGUGAAAUCCGUAGAUAUCUGGAGGAACACCGGUGGCGAAGGCGGCCACCUGGACGACAACUGACGCUGAGGUGCGAAAGCGUGGGUAGCAAACAGG